UUUGUGACCAGAAGGGGUGGAGCCUGGCUGCACCUCUCUUAGACCUCAUUUAAGGAUUGACUGAGGCUGAGGAGAGAUCUUUUGUGGGAGAUUCCUCCUUGGUGAAGCUUUUUUCUGUGAUCCUGGAAUCUUCUGAUGUGGAGGACAGACUGCCAUUUUAACUCAGUUAUGCCAAAGAUCCAACAACGUGGUCCACAGAAUGAAGCUUCUGAAAUGUGGAUGGUCUGACAACAGAUCUCUGAUCCAUCAUUGAAUUAUUUGAUAAACUUCAACUUCAAUCAACAGAAGCAAGCAAGAUUCACAAGAAGUUCCUUUGUAGGAAAGCCCAAACUCACCGAUAGUAAAUGAAAGCCUUCUGAGAAUAAAAUCCUGAAGAAAACUGUACUAAACUAAAUUACAUGCUGGAUGAGCUUUGGCACUGAAUCUCCCAAAGUUUAUGAAAUUACUGCACGCAGCUUUGUAAGGAAUCAUGAAAAGUGAAGAAAGACCUGGUACUAAUUCAUGCCACACUGUGCUACACGGUGCUCCUGGCUGCGUCGCACCUGUUGAUGUUUAUGUGCCAAGGUACAUCAUGCCAACUGCAAUGGCAAGGAAGGUACAGCUGCAAUGGAGCCUGCAAACAGGACAGCUGCAUCUCAGGGAACACUGCUCUCCAGCACCAGGCCAGGAACCCGCUUCAACCGCUGGAGCAAA